rnacentral:rRNA from 1 species
AUUGAACGCUGGCGGCAGGCCUAACACAUGCAAGUCGAACGGUAACAGGAAACAGCUUGCUGUUUCGCUGACGAGUGGCGGACGGGUGAGUAAUGUCUGGGAAACUGCCUGAUGGAGGGGGAUAACUACUGGAAACGGUAGCUAAUACCGCAUAAUGUCGCAAGACCAAAGAGGGGGACCCUCGGGCCUCUUGCCAUCGGAUGUGCCCAGAUGGGAUUAGCUUGUUGGUGGGGUAACGGCUCACCAAGGCGACGAUCCCUAGCUGGUCUGAGAGGAUGACCAGCCACACUGGAACUGAGACACGGUCCAGACUCCUACGGGAGGCAGCAGUGGGGAAUAUUGCACAAUGGGCGCAAGCCUGAUGCAGCCAUGCCGCGUGUAUGAAGAAGGCCUUCGGGUUGUAAAGUACUUUCAGCGGGGAGGAAGGGAGUAAAGUUAAUACCUUUGCUCAUUGACGUUACCCGCAGAAGAAGCACCGGCUAACUCCGUG